AGCAAUGAAGUGUGGUGGUCAACACCUCAGACUUGGAAUCUGACUUCUCCAGUUAAAAUCUUGGCUCUGUCA
rnacentral:tRNA from 1 species